rnacentral:rRNA from 1 species
GCCCAACAGCUAGCCCACCUAAACAAUUUCAACAAACCCUUGUCAAUAACCCCUAAAUACCCCAGUAUUUAAAUUAAACAAACCAUUUUUCCCCCUUAGUAUAGGCGAUAGAAAAGGGACUACGGCGCAAUAGAGAAAGUACCGCAAGGGAACGCUGAAAGAGAAAUGAAAUAACCCAGUAAAGCCCAAAAAAGCAGAGAUUCAACCUCGUACCUUUUGCAUCAUGAUUUAGCGAGUGUACCCCAAGCAAAGAGCACUUUAGUUUGACGUCCCGAAACUACGUGAGCUACUCCAAGACAGCCUAUUAAUAGGGCGUACCCGUCUCUGUUGCAAAAGAGUGGGGAGAGCUUUGAGUAGAGGUGACAAACCUACCGAACCUAGUUAUAGCUGGUUGUCCAAGAAAUGAAUAGAAGUUCAGCCUCUUGGCUUCUCUUUUCACCCUAGUUUAACCCCUAUUGAUGCAUUAAAGAAACCGAGAGAGUUAGUCAAAGGGGGUACAGCCCCUUUGAAUCAAGACACAACUUUAUCAGGAGGGU